UCCCAGUUAGUACAAUGGUUAGUAUAGGGCACUCUCAAAGUCGUUCCCCUAAAAAGGACCAUGGAACUGCUCAGAUCAGGGUUCGAUUCCCUGGCCGGGAA